CUGCUGCCUCCCGUAGGAGUCUGGUCCGUGUCUCAGUACCAGUGUGGGGGACCUUCCUCUCAGAACCCCUACGCAUCGUCGCCUUGGUGGGCCGUUACCCCGCCAACAAGCUAAUGCGACGCAUGACCAUCCGUAGCCGGAAUCGCUUCCUUUAAACCCACAGAGAUGCCUCCAUGGGUUGUUACGCGGUAUUAGACGGAAUUUCUUCCGCUUAUCCCCCUGCUACGGGCAGGUUUCAUACGUGUUACUCACCGUGCGCCGGUCGCCGG
rnacentral:rRNA from 1 species